UACGGAGGGAGCAAGCGUUACUCGGAAUUAUUGGGCGUAAAGGGCGCGUAGGCGAUCUGACAAGUUCUGUGUGAAAGCCCACAUGUUAACUGUGGAAGUGCACCGAAAACUGUUGGAUUUGAGUUCAGGAGAGGAAGGCAGGAAUUCCCGGUGUAGCGGUGAAAUGCGUAGAGAUCGGGGAGGAAUACCAGUGGCGAAGGCGGCCUUCUGGACUGACACUGACGCUGAGGCGCGAAAGCCAGGGGAGCAAACGGG
rnacentral:rRNA from 1 species